GGACUAUUAGCUCAGUUGGUUAGAGCGUCGUGCUAAUAACGCGAAGGUCGCAGAAGGUUGGAAGUUCAAGACCUGCAUAGGCCA
rfam:Picea glauca, whole genome shotgun sequence.